GAUUGCAAUCUGGUCUCUAAAUUGACAAUUUAAUCUAGCUGUUUUUCAUAACUGUCUUGCUGAUGCCAUGAUACACAGUAAAUGUCCUUGCAUACUAACUAGCAGGUCAUUUUAAAAGAAAAACAUUAAAGUGAAGGAGAAAUUGACAAAAAAAAAAAAUAGAUAAACAACUAUGCUUAUUCUACUGCUGCUAUCCCCUCCUCAUUCAAGCUGAAACUCAUCUGCAGUUCAGAUAGAGCAUUAAAAUUUAAGACAAAGUCACUCAUAACGAGAUCAUGAUUAACAAAGAACGCGAAAAAUAACAAAUCCAGAUGUACUCAAACCAGUCUGGUAGGCUCAUCCAUGCUACCUCAAACUUAGUGCUGCUCUUCCUAGAAGCAGUUUAUGAGCAUCUUUCAUUUCCCCAUUUCAAGAAAUAGCUUAAAAGCAAUUUCCGCUGCUUAAUAGAGACUGAGUACUUGAUCAAAUCACAGGUACAAGGAACUGAGGUUCUGCAUUUAUCUGCAGGCUUGCUAUAGGCCAAUAAUUCACAUCUCUAUGUCAUAUAAAUGUGCCUGAGCUGUGCUACAGUGGAGAGCUGUCAUGGUUUUGUAACUUUGCUAUUGGUAUUCCACAUCAUAACAUCCUGGACAAAUGACAAGAGCCUACAGUGAGCCAUAGCACGUCCACACUGCAAUAAGAAUUUAGCUUAGUCAAAGAAAGCCUAGUCCUUUACAGAUAUUUUUUUCUCCAAGGUCUUUGUACACAUAAAGUUUCAGAACAGGCUUACAGUGUAGGAUAGUGAAGAUUUUGUGAAGGUCUGAAAGUAGAUUAUGUUCACCUCCUCUACCCAUCAGCAGUACAGUAUUGAAAGACAAAUAAAAGAUCAAAAGCAGAGAGAGUUCAGUUGCUGCAUGGUCUCCUCCAAUCUCAUCAUCAAUGCUAUGUACAGACCAAUGUUAAGAAUUAUAAACCUAAUUGUAAAGAAUAGAAAUUGAAAAAUAUUAAGCACCCCUUAAGGUAUUUCACAGGUAAGAAUGGAAGAAACUAGCCCCAAAUCACCUGCACAAAAUUACAUAGUGAGUCUGUGGUAGAUGUAGAACAGCAACUACAAAUUUCAGACUUUCAAAAUGGCUCUAACAUACAUUUCAUUUAGGAGCUUUUUUUUUUUUUUUCACUGGCACUUGAAAAUUGUAUCAAACUCUCUGAAGAUUCAAAUAUGGAAAGAUAUAUUCUCUCCAUUCUUUUCAAAUUCUAUAACUAAGGCCAGUUUUAUAAAAAACUUGAAGUUCAGCUGUCUGUGAACACUAUUCUACCAACAAAAGUGAAUAUACCCAAAUGCAUUAUUCGGGAAUAUAAGAAGAAAUGUCUUUUUAAAUUUAAAGAUCAAAUUAUGUUGCCUACAUACGAAGUAAAUUAAGCUAUUUAGGAAUAUACAGCAUGUAUCUAAACUGAAAUUUUCUGAUCUUCUUUAAAGGACGAAGGUACCUUUGUGGUAUACAAUUUAAAUUAUAAAUAUGAUCCAAGAGAAAGUACUAUUAUUGUAUUAAUAAAUAUUUUACAAUCUCCAUGGCAGCUCUUGUCAUCUUACUUCUGUCUCAAAUUUGCAAGUACUUGCACAUUGCAGCACUGCUGAAAUGGUUGUCCAACAAAUAUAUUUACAGCAUAGGUGGCUGUAGAGUUU
ensembl:lncRNA